CCCCCCCCCCCCCCCCCCCCCCCCCCCCCCCCCCCCCCCCCCCCCCCCCCCCCCCCCCCCCCCCCCCCCCCCCCCCCCCCCCCCCCCCCGCCGCCGCUCGGCCCCCCCGCCCGGCCGCGCUCGUGUCCUCACCGGUGCCCAUGGGUGCCCCGCGGCCGGCGGGAGGUGAAGUGUGCCAGUGACACUCGCCCGUAGUAUGGAUGCGGUUUCAAUCUGCACAUGCUCGCUCCCGACAGCCAGCCUGCCCCGCCACCUUCCCUUAACUCUUUCCGCACUGCCUCGCACUGCCUCCCCCGCCCCGCGUCCCGCUGCCGGCCUGCGGCCGCUUCCCCGGCCACCCCCCCCCCCCCCCCCCCCCCCCCCCCCCCCCCCCCCCCCCCCCCCCCCCCCCCCCCCCCCCCGGCCAGCCCUGCCGGGGCCACCGCGGGGCACGGAGCCUGAAGGCGGCGGGGAGCCCAGGGCAGGGACCUGCCUCCCCCGAGAGCCGGGCCCUGCCGGUGCGGGUCGGUGUGUGCUCCGGCACAAGGAUUCCUGGUCUCUCCUGCCUUCUGUAGUACCAGAAAUGAUGAGCUAAUGCUUUUAGCAAAAUAAGGAUGUUUUUAUGACCUCUGUUUAAUGACUCGGCAUUCCUGGUUUUAAUAAUAAAUAGUCCCAAUAAUAAUGAGGCAACAUCGGAUCUGUGCAGGCCCCGAAGCAGUUAUAAUGAAGGAUUCUCAAGAUGUCUGGCAGCAGUGACUCUGUUGAAGGCAGGUGUUCUCUGGAGAGGCUGCUCGUUCAGC
rnacentral:lncRNA from 12 species